CCAAAGGUAUUGAAUAAGAUUUUAAUUGAAUGCUAAGAGAAUGGAAGUCCAGAAAAAAACUUUUUUUAAAUUAAAAAUUGAAGUUUUUUUAAUUUGUGCAGAAACAAUUAUUUAUAUUAAAGACAAGAAGACCCUAUGAAUUUAUUAAAUUUUUAUUCAAUAUGUAAUUACUAUUAGAAAAAUUUUGGCUGGGGCGGCUAGAAAAUAUUAUGAACUUUUUAAAAAUAAAAUGAUCCAUUAUUAAUGAUUUUAUGUUAAAUACUCUAGGGAUAACAGCGUUAUAUUUUUUGAUAGAUCAUAUUGACAAAAAAGUUUGCGACCUCGAUGUUGGAUUAGGAUACUUUUUUAAUGAARAUAUUAAAAAAAGAAGUUUGUUCAACUUUUAAUUUCCUACUUGAUCUGAGUUCAGACCGGA
rnacentral:rRNA from 1 species